ensembl:miRNA
UUAGGUUAGUGUAAAAGUAAUUGUGGUUUUUGCCAUUGAAAGUAAUGGCAAAAACCCCAAUUAUUUUUGCACCAACCUA